rnacentral:rRNA from 1 species
UACGUAGGUUGCAAGCGUUGUCCGGAAUUAUUGGGCGUAAAGCGCGCGUAGGCGGUCCUUUAAGUCUGAUGUGAAAGCCCACGGCUCAACCGUGGAGGGGCAUUGGAAACUGGGGGACUUGAGUGCAGAAGAGGAAAGCGGAAUUCCACGUGUAGCGGUGAAAUGCGUAGAGAUGUGGAGGAACACCAGUGGCGAAGGCGGCUUUCUGGGCUGUAACUGACGCUGAGGCGCGAAAGCGUGGGGAGCAAACAGG